UCGUUAUUUUGCAACUACACCUUUCAGAAAUUUUAUUUAUCGGUGAACGCUUCUUCUGACGCUUAUAAAACUUCUUGGUCAUCAAAGAAUGAGAGUGGAAUCAUUUUCUUCUGUUGAUUCUGCUGAAUCCAGUAAGUACUUGUAGAUGCCAUGCUCGAAAGAUAUUGUCAAAAUGUAAAGUGAUCAAAACAGGGGACAGGCUAUCCAACAAUUAGGUAUACUAUUAUCGGUUUAUCUAAUUCGUUGUCGUUGCUGUCUAUUAGAGCGAUGAUGCAUCUGUACAUGUUAAUUAUAGUUUCCGUGAUGUGGACUGGAAUUUUACUGUCUGGAAAAUAUUCCCUGCAGCUUUUUUAUUACAAGUCUGUCGAUAGGUUUUGCGUAAUCAGUGAAUACAGUGUAUGUUUCUAAAUUAAGUAUUCGAAGCUUCUCGAUCAUUUGUGUGUGGUGAAUACAGCAUCGAUACAUGACCGAUCUUUGUGGAAAGCUGUUUGUUUUUCGUUCAAGAGGACCUCUGUAAUUUUUCUUGGUGCUUCUUAAUGCUUUGGCAUACAGCAACCUGUGUUCAGUGAACUUACUCCGUCCAUAAUUGUUUGAGUCCAUUCUGUUCCCUGUCUUGCGCGCCGAUGCAAUUUUAGCAAGUAUCUGUUCUUCGAGGACGCUUCUCUAUCGCACGUGUUUGUUACACACUGCUGGGGGAAAAAUUAGAACACACUGAAAGACAAUAUCUAUUUUGAUCUGAUUGCAGAAUAUGCCACCUGAGGGAUAGUAGAUGCACUGAUAAUGGUUUAAAUGUCAUCCGGCAGCUGACUAACAGAUAGUAUAGAGGUAUCAGUGCGCCAUGUGUGUCUACCCUUUGGAAACGAACGCACGUGGCUAUAAGGGUGAGUGUGGUGUAGAAGUGUAGGGGAAGCAGGCACCAUGCCACAGAGAAGCCCUCUUACUUCCUACAGGCAACUUUGUAAGUUUGAGAGGGGUCAAAUUGUGGCCUUUCGACUGGCGGAAUGGUCGCUUCGGAGAACAGCCGCACAACUUGCGCGUGAUACGUCAGUUGUGGGGUGAUGGUGGCAACAGUAGAUACCUGAGAAUUUGCAGACCCGUUAAUGAAGUUUUUGGCGUCCACAUAGCACAGACGCCCCCAUAGACUGUCAUACGUUAAGAGCAACAGUGGUAGAUCGUGCAGCUCCACAGCGUAUAUAGAACCAAGCGAGUAUUGAGGAUUGAAGAGUACGAGCGCACUCUGCAUUGUUACCAGAUCUCCUCAGAUUCGAAUUCUAUACGGAUAUCUCAAAGGUGACAUUGACAACUGCAAAUUUGCACUGUUGCGAACUAAUUAUUAACUAGUAGGUCGACAGCUCUAGCCCAUCUUCUACCCACACUACAGCAUCGACUUGCAGUGCUCGAUUGGUGCCACAGAAGGUGGAAUGGCAUGCCACAGUCUUUAGCGAUGAAAGCAGCUUCUGCUUGCAACCAAAUGUUAGUCAUUCAUGAGUCCAGUGUAGAACUAGUGAGCACUGUCCCUCCGCCACACACCGUUGGAUGGCUUACGGAGUAUAAAUGUAGACGGUACUUUCGUCUGAGACACACUGGUCCCACACCUGUCAUGGUCUUAUGCUGUGCAUAUUGAUAUGCUGCACCUCCCGUUCGCUCCUGAAGUUUGUGGAGGUAAUGAUGACCAGUGCAGCAAAGGUGCAGCAUGUUGCUAGACUAGUUGUUCUGCCGCUCUUGCAAUAGGAAGUUGGAGUGGCGUUAGAUCAGGAUAACGCUCAGUCCCACUGACCAUGAAAAUUUACUUGCUCUGUAAGACGUGAAGCACCUCGGCUGGCCAACACAAUUGCACAAUGGAAUCCAAUGGAACACGUGUGGAACAAGUGACCUGUGCAGCCCGACCACACACAGUUCUUACAGGACUAUGCGAACAGCGCGAGCAGAUGUGUAACAACAAAUCCCAAGCCAGUAUUUGCCAAGUGUAUGAUUGAUAGCAUGCCUAAAUUUCCACUUGUGGAGACUACACCGUGUACUAUUACAGUUGUUUCAACAUGGCUCUACACCUGGUAUCUCAGAACUGCUUGAGAUACUGAUCUGUAAAUCUAAUUAUUUCAUGUAGUCCGUAUUUAUUGUUUUUAUAAUAAAUUCUGAGUUACUUGCAAAACUCUUAAAGGGUGUCCUAAUUUUCUUUAUUUUUUUUUUUUUAGUUCAGCAUUGACGUUGUCUGGGCCAGUGGUCUUUCUUUUUCUCAACUUUUUCGGGAAUUUAUACUUCUUUCAGUGUGAUAUCAUCUCGAGACACAGCUUAUUCCUAUUGCUGUUCCCAUUUGUAACGGCUUCCACUCUGUGUCUAAGGAGAUUUCUAUGUAUCUAGUUUUGAAAACUUUAUUAACCGUUAGAGGAACUGUGCGAAUAUCGGGAAUGUGGGUAACCACUGAGAGAUUCUAGGGCAGGUUUUGGUUAGCAAUUCUUUGAUCAGGGCUCUGUGCAAGAAUAUCGCCCCACACAAGCGAUAAUAGACACGAAUCAUCCACAAACAAACAUCUUUUGUUUAUCAUGGGUGGCUACCAUUAAAAACUAGAAUAAACAAUUCCGAAGAACUCUCUUCACAAAAAUCAUUAUUAUUUAAGAUUUUCAAAAUUUAUUUCAUCGAUUUACAACUUUUAAGGAUAUGGUAGGAACCCGUCCCUUCCGCUAGCACCAUCUACAGUAACAAGGCGUGUUACCCAACAAUGAGUUCAUCAGUCAUAUUCGCCUGCUCAGACGUCUUCUAAUGUGCAACUGCUGAACUUGAAUGCUGCCCAGGAAUUUAAUGAUUAUUUGCUUUAUGUGAGCUAAACUUUGCCACCAGCGAUUACGUUUCAGCGGAGAUAACGUAGAUGACAUAGCUGUCAAACGUAGUUACUAUUCACGUAAAGGUUGCCCGAAAAGUAAUCGCUGAGCCCUGUCACCAUUAACAAUUCAUUCACCAAAAUGUAGCCGUCUUUGGGCAUCGUCAUUUACUUUUCGAUACCUUAAACUGUUUCUUUUCUUCAGAUAAGUUUUCUUUUCGUAUUUCGACCAAAAAUUUUAAUUCUGUUUGACACUGAUGUAUAGUUAAGUGCGGCAGAGUGAUUAUGUUUCACAGAUAUCGAAAGUAAACUUAAAAAGUUAUGGGGAUACCUCGUGUGUUUCUGGCAACCUUUCUAGGUUGUAAUAAUGUUCGCUUUAAUCUUUGAACAUUUCCUAGCAUGGUCUUCAAAUUACGAACUCCGUUGCAACCAAACUCUGACUGUGGAGAUAUGCAGAAUAUUGCGGCAGUGUUUUUCGUGCAGUAAAUAAUGUUCUACUUCAGCCACAAUGUCUUUCCUUAAUAAUGCUACUAGUUUGGAAGAUUAAUACUCCAUCAUCAGAUAUUUUAACGUUAAAUUGUCCAUACACACAAAAUUAAUACUCCAAAACUCAUAGCACAAUUAAUAAAGGAUAUUGUGACAGAGAUUGAAUUUUUAGUUACUGCUGGUCAUGUCGAAAUAUGAAUAUGCAUCUGGUGCGUCAUAUAUUAAUUUUCUUCAUAUUCCUGAAAUUCUUUCAAGUGGUUGAAAAAAGAAAAAGAUUGAAAUAUUUUGCAGACUAGUGCAGUCGUAGUGCUGGAUGCACGGAGUGUCAUUUAGAAUGUGUUACGGCGUAAUUUACGGCCUACUGGACUCCGACCACAGCUGAUCGGUGGCCAGUUUCUUGUAGUGACUGUAUCUAAUGAUACUGAGUGUUAUGUUUUGUGGAAUAUUUACUGGUGCAUGUGACUAUGUAAGUGCACCGCUAAAAUUGCAUGUUGAUCCUGAAUGUUAAAACAGAUGCAUUUUGCAGUUUUCCCCCCGAAACGCAGUUAAGCGUGCUGUGUAUGAACUCGAAUGAUGAAUGUAAAUUAUCUUGUUGUUGGUGUUCGAUGUCUGAAGUACUGUUCUGUAUGUGUUUCCUGCGAGAGAUCAGUGUUAGCUGCCUGGACUUGCUGGCACGCCACCCAGUGCGUAGAGUGUUCCCGAAUGCUGUGUGGUCUGGGCAUUGUCGUUUGCUUGUUGGAGAGGUCUCCCCGUACUUUCACGGUGGACCACGGGACCCCAGGCCUGCAGCAGUCCCGCGCCUACGAGCCGCUGCACUCGUCUGUGCGCCGCAUCCUGUCCGGGGAGAAGGAGAAGGAGGCGCACGUGCAGGUGGUGAGAGCGACCACCGUCUGAACGCCCCCACCCUUCCUGCUGCGCUCCGCGCCUUCGGCGGGUCCAAGCCGACGACUCCUCCAGCAGUUGGUUGACAUCGGCGGAAGCGACGGCUCGGGUCUACGUUUUAAGGCAAGAGCACAUCACGAAUCUUCGGUGUCCCUCCAAAACGAAAGAGAAAAAAUUCUUUUCAAUGGAAGUUAACGCUUCGUCCAAUCGUUGAAAAAUAUUUCAGUGCUGUGCGAUAAUGCGUAAAUCUGUCAAUGGCGCUUUUUUUUACUUUUUUAUUAGCUAAACAUUUGUGAUAAAAUAAUAUUUGUACUGUUGAUAUACUAUGUAAUGUGAAAAAUUAUGUUUAUAAUUAUUCAUGUCUGUGAUUCAACGUUCAGUGUCGUUAAUGUAAUCUAUAACGUAUGUCGUCAACAACGAUCACAUCAUUCACUUCUGCAGGUGUAUAAAACUGCCUUUCAGGAUUUCUCAUGUCUCUCUGUGUUUUUCGACCUACUAUGUAUGAACUGUGCCCUCCUGUUGUCAUUAAUAAAACUGUUGUAUGCACUC